rnacentral:rRNA from 1 species
AUUAGCGGAGGAAAAGAAACUAACAAGGAUUCCCCUAGUAAAUGCGAGUGAAGCGGGAAAAGCUCAAAUUUAAAAUCUGGUGGCCUUUGGCCAUCCGAGUUGUAAUUUAGAGAAGCGUCUUCCGCGCUGGACCGUGCACAAGUCUCCUGGAAUGGAGCGUCAUAGAGGGUGAGAAUCCCGUCUUUGGCACGGACUCCCAGGGCUUCUGUGAUGCGCUCUCGACGAGUCGAGUUGUUUGGGAAUGCAGCUCAAAAUGGGUGGUGAACUCCAUCUAAAGCUAAAUACUGGCGAGAGACCGAUAGCGAACAAGUACCGUGAGGGAAAGAUGAAAAGCACUUUGGAAAGAGAGUGAAACAGUACGUGAAAUUGUUGAAAGGGAAACGCUUAAAGUCAGUCGCGUCGACCGAGACUCAGCCUUGCCUUGGCUUGGUGUACUUCUCGGCUGACGGGUCAGCAUCAAUUUUGAUCCUUGGAUAAUGGCAAGGGAAAGGUGGCACCUUUUUAGGUGUGUUAUAGUCCUUUGUCACAUGCGAGGGUCGGGAUUGAGGAACUCAGCAUGCACCUUUGGGUGUCGGGGCCUUGGCCCACGUUACGUGCUUAGGAUGCUGGCGUAAUGGCUUUAAACGACCCGUCUUGAAACACGGACCAAGGAGUCUAACAUACCCGCGAGUGUUCGGGUGGAAAACCCGUGCGCGUAAUGAAAGUAAAAGUUGGGACCUCUGUCGUAGAGGGCACCGACGCCCGGACCAGACCUUCUGUGACGGCUCUGCGGUAGAGCGUGUAUGUUGGGACCCGAAAGAUGGUGAACUAUGCCUGAAUAGGGUGAAGCCAGAGGAAACUCUGGUGGAGGCUCGUAGCGAUUCUGACGUGCAAAUCGAUCGUCAAAUUUGGGUAUAGGGGCGAAAGACUAAUCGAACCAUCUAGUAGCUGGUUCUGC